UGCAUUUUUUGGUAAGACGAUGUUAACAAAAGUUGUUCGUCUUGAUGAGAACUACAACUUUGCUUAAUAUCCUUUUAACAAAUUAUGCGUUUUUAAGAAGAUAACGCUGCGCAUGCGCAGAACGUAACUCCUUACGCUUGCAUUAAUAUCGUUUUAACAAAUUAUGCGUAUUUAAGAAGAUAGCGCUGCGCAUGCGCAGAACGAAACUCCUUACGCUUGCAUUUUUUGGUAAGACGAUGUUAACAAAAGUUGUUCGUCUUGAUGAGGGCUACAACUUUGCUUAAUAUCCUUUUAACAAAUUAUGCG